rnacentral:rRNA from 1 species
UACGUAGGGGGCAAGCGUUGUCCGGAAUUAUUGGGCGUAAAGGGUGCGUAGGCGGGUCUUUAAGUCAGGGGUGAAAUCCUGGAGCUCAACUCCAGAACUGCCUUUGAUACUGAGGAUCUUGAGUCCGGGAGAGGUGAGUGGAACUGCGAGUGUAGAGGUGAAAUUCGUAGAUAUUCGCAAGAACACCAGUGGCGAAGGCGGCUCACUGGCCCGGUACUGACGCUGAGGUGCGAAAGCGUGGGGAGCAAACAGG